UACAGGGGGUGCAAACGUUGCUUGGAAUCAUUGGGCGUAAAGCGCACGUAGGCGGUUCGUUAUGUCGGAUGUGAAAGCCCUUGGCUUAACCGAGGAAGUGCAUCCGAAACUGGCGAGCUAGAGUACGAAAGAGGAUCGCGGAAUUCCCGGUGUAGAGGUGAAAUUCGUAGAUAUCGGGAGGAACACCGGUGGCGAAGGCGGCGAUCUGGGUCGAUACUGACGCUGAGGUGCGAAAGCGUGGGGAGCAAACAGG
rnacentral:rRNA from 1 species